rnacentral:rRNA from 1 species
UACGUAGGGAGCGAGCGUUGUCCGGAUUCAUUGGGCGUAAAGAGCUCGUAGGCGGCUUGGUAAGUCGGAUGUGAAACCUCCAGGCUCAACCUGGAGUCGCCAUCCGAUACUGCCAUGGCUAGAGUCCGGUAGGGGCCCACGGAAUUCCUGGUGUAGCGGUGAAAUGCGCAGGAUAAUCAGGAGGAACACCGAUGGCGAAGGCAGGAUGG